UGGGGAAUUUUGGACAAUGGGGGCAACCCUGAUCCAGCCAUGCCGCGUGUGUGAAGAAGGCCUUCGGGUUGUAAAGCACUUUUGUCCGGAACGAAACGGCGGAUGCCAAUACCAUCCGUUAAUGACGGUACCGGAAGAAUAAGCACCGGCUAACUACGUGCCAGCAGCCGCGGUAAUACGUAGGGUGCAAGCGUUAAUCGGAAUUACUGGGCGUAAAGCGUGCGCAGGCGGUUUCGCAAGUCAGAUGUGAAAUCCCCGGGCUUAACCUGGGAACUGCAUUUGAAACUACGAGGCUAGAGUGUGUCAGAGGGGGGUAGAAUUCCACGUGUAGCAGUGAAAUGCGUAGAGAUGUGGAGGAAUACCGAUGGCGAAGGCAGCCCCCUGGGAUAACACUGACGCUCAUGCACGAAAGCGUGGGGAGCAAACAGGAUUAGAUACCCGUGUAGUCC
rnacentral:rRNA from 1 species